rnacentral:tRNA from 1 species
UGAGAUUGUGGCUCAGUGGUAGAGCUUUCUUCUGCCACAUGCGAGGCCCUGGGUUCGAUCCUCAGCACCACAA